UACGAAGGGGGCUAGCGUUGUUCGGAAUUACUGGGCGUAAAGCGCGCGUAGGCGGUUUUGCAAGCCAGAGGUGAAAUGCCUGAGCUCAACUCAGGAAUGGCCUUUGGGACUGCGAGGCUUUGAGGACUGGAGAGGUGAGUGGAAUUCCCAGUGUAGAGGUGAAAUUCGUAGAUAUUGGGAAGAACACCGGUGGCGAAGGCGGCGACCUGGUCCGUUACUGACGCUGAGGCGCGACAGCGUGGGGAGCAAACAGG
rnacentral:rRNA from 1 species